rnacentral:lncRNA from 1 species
AUCCACAAAAAUAAUACACCAGAUAAUUUCCUGACAAUUCCUCACUCAAAUACUUAUAUACAUACUACAUGUCAGUGUGGGGUUCACAAUAUGCGCAGUCUGCUCCCCUGAAUAGUACUAGAAAAGGUAAUAAAAUCAAUACAAGCAGUAUAAAUCCUGUCUUUGUACUCUGUUACAGAAUAUCUAUCACGACGCUGUUUCUGGAUGGCUGAUGUUAGCAUCGUUUUUCUAUAAGUCUAAACAGUAUAGUAAGGCAUUACACAUCAUCGCAUAUUCUAUAUCGAAAUGUUCUCCCGAAAAACUACAACGUUUCAAUGGAUAUGUCGGAUAUUCAUUAUCAAACCCUUAAACUGAAAUUAUUCCAGAAUAAAAGUAUUGUACAAUUGUGGAAAAUAAUGCUUAUUGAUCGUAUGAAAUUUUUACAUAACUCUUGGCUUAUACCAAACGAACUACAAAUGGAAGUGGAAAAUGAGAAUAUCGUAUUUCCUCUAUAUUGUAUGCUAUUUUCUAAAGUUUUUGUGUCAUUAUCAACUCAAUAAUGCCAGACAAUGUCAGGAUUGCCUCCACACUUUACAAACUGUUAUAAGCGAAAAAUAUUUUAUAGAAAAUAGUAAACAAUACCAUUCUAUCAAUCAGAUACACUAUUCUUGGAAUUGUUUUUCAGUUAUUAGGAGACAACGAAUCUGCCCGACAAGCAUUCAUGCAGUCGGUUGAAAUAGAGCCGGAUUACAGUUUAUAAUACUUCCGUAAGAGACUUACACUAAUGAACUCGUUGUGAUAUAUGUGUGGAUUCAGUUGAACUACUCGUAAAAGACUGUAAAACACAUUUAGCAUGUAUUUCAUCAAUCGAUCUUUUGGUUUUCUAGAACUGG